rnacentral:rRNA from 1 species
AUUGAACGCUGGCGGCAGGCCUAACACAUGCAAGUCGAGCGGAUGAAUGGAGCUUGCUCCUGGAUUCAGCGGCGGACGGGUGAGUAAUGCCUAGGAAUCUGCCUGGUAGUGGGGGAUAACGUCCGGAAACGGGCGCUAAUACCGCAUACGUCCUGAGGGAGAAAGUGGGGGAUCUUCGGACCUCACGCUAUCAGAUGAGCCUAGGUCGGAUUAGCUAGUUGGUUGGGUAAAGGCCUACCAAGGCGACGAUCCGUAACUGGUCUGAGAGGAUGAUCAGUCACACUGUAACUGAGACACGGUCCCGACUCCUACGGGAGGACGCAGUCGGGAAUAUUGGACAAUGGGCGAAAGCCUGAUCCAGCCAUGCCGGGUGUGUGAAGAAGGUCUUCGGAUUGUAAAGCACUUUAAGUUGGGAGGAAGGGCAGUAAGUUAAUCCCUUGCUGUUUUGACGUUACCAACAGAAUAAGCACCGGCUAACUUCGUG